CGCCAUAGCAAACUCCGAAUACCGAAGAGUGCAAUCACGGGAGACAGACAUCGGGUGCUAACGUCCGGUGUCAAGAGGGAAACAACCCAGACCGCCAGCUAAGGUCCCCAAAUAUUGCUAAGUGGGAAACGAAGUGGGAAGGCUAAAACAGUCAGGAGGUUGGCUUAGAAGCAGCCACCCUUUAAAGAAAGCGUAAUAGCUCACUGAUCGAGUCGUCCUGCGCGGAAGAUGUAACGGGGCUAAGCAAUAUACCGAAGCUGCGGAUGCGAGAUUUAUCUCGCAUGGUAGGAGAGCGUUCCGUAAGCCUGUGAAGGUGCAUUGAAAAGUGUGCUGGAGGUAUCGGAAGUGCGAAUGCUGACAUGAGUAGCGAUAAAGGGGGUGAAAAGCCCCCUCGCCGUAAGCCCAAGGUUUCCUACGCAACGUUCAUCGGCGUAGGGUGAGUCGGCCCCUAAGGCGAGGCAGAAAUGCGUAGCUGAUGGGAAGC
rnacentral:rRNA from 1 species